AUUGAACGCUGGCGGCAGGCCUAACACAUGCAAGUCGAGCGAGCGGCGGACGGGUGAGUAAUGUCUGGGAAACUGCCUGCUGGAGGGGGAUAACUACUGGAAACGGUAGCUAAUACCCCAUACCAUCAGAUGUGCCCAGAUGGGUGUAGCUAGUAGGUGGGGUAACGGCGCACCUAGGCGACGAUCCCUAGCUGGUCUGAGAGGAUGACCAGCCACACUGGAACGGAGAAACGGUCCAGACUCCUAGGGGAGGCAGCAGUGGGGAAUAUUGGACAAUGGGCGCAAGCCUGAUGCAGCCAUGCCGCGUGGGGGAAGAAGGCCUUCGGGUGGUAAAGCACUUUCAGCGGGGAGGCGUUACCCGAAGAAGAAGCACCGGCUAACUCCGUGCCAGCAGCCGCGGUAAUAC
rnacentral:rRNA from 1 species